UACUUUAGGGAUGGCCUCAUGUGUCUGCCGCAAGUGGAAGUAUAGUGCACGUAAUCCUACUCUGUGGCGUACUGCAUGCCUGAAAACUUGGCAGAGGAGUGGAAUGGAGGCAAACUACAGGAUGGUUUAGUCAUUGUACGAUUCUUCUUGGAGGAGAACGUGGCUGCAGAGACCUAGAAUCCGAUGUGAUGGUCUCUAUGUGAAUAGGAACACAUAUAUGUGACUUUGAUAGUUGACUUCAUGACAUAGGGGAGAAGCCAGGCGACGAAACCAUCGGGGUCAGCUCCAUUAGACAACGGGGUUCAUAUGAAACUAAAUUAUGAGACAAGACAUUUUUAGCAUAUAUGACAAUAUUGUUGCAUUAUUACUGUCUUCAUACGGUAUGCAAACUUAUGGAUGUCAAAAUUUUGGAAACUUUAUAUGUUUCUAGUUGAUUGUAUAUAUUCUCAAGAAAUGGAACCCUACUACAUUGAAAUAUUUUUUGUUCUAACUUGACUUAAAUCCCACUCAUCUAUUAAUAGUGAUGACAUAGGAUAUGAAAAGUUCAGAUCUUAUAACCUUUAAGUAUCUUUGAUGGUCCUAUCUAUUGCGUGAACUUGUGCUACUGAACUUGUAGAAAGUGUAUGUGGACAUGUGCAUAUAUGGACUUGUGCUACUGAAUUUGUGACGUCGGACUUGUAUGCUUGUGGACGUUUGAUGACGUACUUGUUGGUUUUUGCAUAAUGUCAUGUGUGGAUGUGUGGUUUUAUGAUGUGUCAUAUAUAUGUGGUUGAAUCAGUUAAUUGUGAAUUCUGUGAAUUGUUGUUGCUGUUCUAAUUAAUGUAUGUAGGGUGCAAUUCCAUAUUUUGAUAAUUAGUGGGGAAAUGCUAAUCAGAAAUGGCUCUAAACUAGAGUGGUUUCUGAUAUCAGAAUAUCAAAAACGGCUCUAAUUUAGAGCCGUUUCUGGUACUCCUUAUCAGAAACGAUUCCCUAGCCGUUUCUGAUAAUUCUUAGUAUCACAAACACUCAAGUGGAAACGGUUGCGAUACUAUUUCUGAUGAGGGCUUAUGAACCGUUUCUAAUUACUGAUUUUGUAGUAAUGAUAUUUACUGUAAUGACCAAGUUUCCUAAGUUUCUUACAUCCAUAAAUUGGACCAUUGAGCCAAAAGCUCUACUCGCACCUCCACUCAAAUCUUCCUCAUAUAACACACGUACACUCAAACACUAUAUAUUAGCACUAGUCUAGAUCAAGAGUAACACCAUCAUGAUACUAUAGUCUACUUAAACUAUAGCUUCAGAUUUUUAUCGAGCUGUAUAUAUUGGUUCUAUAGCGUCGGCUACAUCGGAUUUUUGCUUUGGAACUAAGGCACUAUACCGCAAGUUAACGAGAGAAUCUUAGUUUUCUUAGUAGCAUGUAAGCUGCACUAACAACCAUAGUAUUAUUGCUUUUAUCAACAAGUUGUGUUUAUACUCGUCAUAAGAUUAUAUAUUUUUAUUUGAGAUAUUGUCUGUUAUACUUCAGUACUUUUAACGUUUUGUUACGUAUUAUUAUACAUCAAUAGUAUAGUUUGAAGUUGUGGUUAUGAUACUCAAUAUUUCUAGUGUAGAAAUGCAUACAAUUCAGUUAAAUUAUUCACAAAUAUUAUCGAUCACUAGUUUGGUAGUUUUACCAUCGAUGUUAUUGGAGGUAUUAUUUGCAAGUGUUUUAUUUCUUGCUAGGUAUUUUAUACUCAAGCUUACCUUUGGUGUUCAACGCAGAAUCUGAAGGUCAAGAUCAAGAUGUUAGCAAUUAGGAAUACACGCGGCGAAAUUUGGGUGACAUCAUAGUUAUAAUGUUUAAUAGUUUGUGUACU